rnacentral:rRNA from 1 species
AUGCUUAAUCGUAAAAUAUUUAUUCACAACUUCAACCGCCAGAGUACUACGAGUAACUAACUUAAAACUCAAAGGACUUGACGGCGUCUCACCUACCUAGAGGAGCCUGUUCUAUAAUCGACACCCCCCGAUAUACCUAACCACUUUUUGCCAAUCAGUCUGUAUACCUCCGUCGCAAGCUCACCACAUGAGUGCCGAUUAGUAAGCAAAAAGAUCAUCCCACCAACACGUCAGGUCAAGGUGCAACCCACAAAGUGGUAAGAAAUGGGCUACACUUUCUAACUUAGAACACACGAAUAGUCAUAUGAAAAAUGACAAUGAAGGCGGAUUUAGAAGUAAGGGGCAAAUAAAGCGUCCCCCUUAAUACAGCAAUGAGACGUGUACACA